UUCAGACAGGCAGGGUAGUGAUAUUCAGACAGGUCAGUGAUAUUCAGAUAGACAGGUCAGUGAUAUUCCAACAGACAGGUUAGUGAUAUUCAGACAGACAUGUCAAUGAUAUUCAGCUAGAUUGACAGGUCAUUGAUAGACAGACAGGUCAUGGAUAGACAGACAAGUCAGUGAUAUUCAGACAGCUAGACAGGUCAGGGAUAGACAGACAGGUCAGGGAUAGACAGACAAGUCAGUGAUAUUCAGACAAACAGGUCAGUGAUAUUCAGACAGCUAGACAGGUCAGUGAUAGACAGACAGGUCAGUGAUAUUCAGACAAACAGGUCAGUGAUAUUCAGACAGCUAGACAGGUCAGUGAUAGACAGACAGGUCAGUGAUAGACAGACAGGUCAGUGAUAUUCAGACAGACAGGUCAGUGAUAUUCAGACAGCUAGACAGGUCAGUGAUAGACAGACAGGUCAGUGAUAGACAGACAGGUCAGUGAUAUUCAGACAGACAGGUCAGUGAUAUUCAGACAGCUAGACAGGUCAGUGAUAGACAGACAGGUCAGUGAUAUUCAGACAGACAGGUCAGUGAUAUUCAGACAGCUAGACAGGUCAGUGAUAGACAGACAGGUCAGUGAUAGACAGACAGGUCAGUGAUAUUCAGACAGACAGGUCAGUGAUAUUCAGACAGCUAGACAGGUCAGUGAUAGACAGACAGGUCAGUGAUAGACAGACAGGUCAGUGAUAUUCAGACAGACAGGUCAGUGAUAUUCAGACAGCUAGACAGGUCAGUGAUAGACAGACAGGUCAGUGAUAUUCAGACAGCUAGACAGGUCAGUGAUAGACAGACAGGUCAGUGAUAGACAGACAGGUCAGUGAUAGACAGACAGGUCAGUGAUAUUCAGACAGGUCAGUGAUAGACAGAGGACAUACAGAUGUGUGACAGUCUCAUUUCCUGUACUGCUGGUUACUAUACACCAAUAGGUGGAGGGUUUCGUUCUGCGGGCUUUUUAAAUUUUUUCACCAAAAUUACUUUCUAUGUAGAUGUUAAAGAAAGCUUUCCAUUUCAUACAGAAGGAGGAGGAAGAGGAGGAGGGGGAGGAGGAAGAGGAAGAGAGAGGUUAAAAGGUUGUGGCUGCGUGUUUUUUGAGGUCAUAUGACAUCAUCCCAUAACAGUUUACUGUAAUCAUGAAUGAUAGAAGAAGCCGUGGAGUUCUUCCAAAAAGAAAGCAUGGAGAUGAGUUGUGCUGUAACCAGGCCUGUAAUAGCACAAGACAACAUCUAGACAUAAGCCUUAUUCGCACGGGACUUGUGUUACUAUAGAACGUUGGUUAUGUAAUUAUUGCCCCAGCAUGUCCGUUGUUCCAGUGGACGAUUCGGAUGGGAUUUGUUUUACCAAACUGCUCCUGUAAUAAUUUGUUAUCCUCAUUCAAAAUUGACCGUUAUGACGGAAGCCUGGAGGCUGAAGUAGAUAUAUGACAAGGCAGUUCAUUCAUCUGUAUGCUACUUGCAUAGCACUUUGUUUUAAGCAUCCAUUUGUUCCCAUGUUCUUACCCAAACUGGGUGCAGCACAUGUUAAACUCUGUAAUAUCCCUCAAAACACAGGGAUGACGAUUAUUAUCAGAGGACCAGGGAGUUUGCUGAAAAACAGUAGGUUUUUAAAGCUGGGAUAAUAACCUUCUUGCCAAGUAAAAAUGACUGACAUGCCAGAUUCAGACGGGACUAAAAUGGCUGAUGUGGUGAUUUGUGCUCGUGCACAUAAUUCUAUUACCGGAGCUCCCCCAGUCAAACGUAUCCCAUCUGAAUAGGGCAAUGGUGUGUGUGUAAAAGUAAAAACAUUAGAGUAUAACCCAGCACAAAUGAGUCAAAUGAUUAGUUGAUGGGAGAGAGAGAGAUGGAGGUAGGGCUCAGUGUAGCCAGCUGCAGAUGUCUCUCAUUCCUCAGCCCAACACUCAUCACCACCAUGAGCCCAGGGUGCAUGUGUGUGUGUUUCUGUUGUUUUUUGUGUGCAUAAAAUGAGAAGGAAAGGACUUCAAAAUCACAAAUGAAGUAGUAUGUUUCAUGGAGUACUAGUCAGAGGUGGAAUUAGAUGGGGACCGCAUGGGGUUGUUUUUCCAUGAUUCCACCACUAGGGUUAUUAUCAUUUCGUCCACAAUAUUUUAUGACUACCACUAGAGAGUUGGCACUGGAGAGUUGGCAGUAUUAAACACAAUGAAGUAUAAUCAGUAGGGAGGGCUGGGAGGUUGAUUUGUCUAAAGCAAUGCUUUCCUCUCUGCCAGGGGGGAAGCCUUUCCAGUGCAGGUACUGCCCCUACAGUGCCACCCAGAAGGGGAACCUGAAGACUCAUGUCCUGUGUGUUCACCGCAGGCCCUUCGACAGCAGCCUGUACCCAGAUAGACGCCUCCGACGGCCCCGUGCCAACACCCCUGUGACACCCUACACCUCCCAGGAAGGUUCUGCCCCUAGGCCUACACCCACUGGGAGAGAUAUCACCAUGGCAUCAUUGUGUGGGACUUGAUGUUGCUAUGGCAACUGCAUAUAGCCAUAGGGUGUUUCGAACAUUUUAUCUGGAGUGCCAGAGUGUGCUCAGAGUGCAUUCUGGGCGUUAGUAAAUUUUGAAAGUUGUCAGAUUGUCAGUUAGUAAAUUCAGAGUUUCGCUAUCGGAGCGUUCACACUGGACUGGAGUAGGAAUGAUCUGAGUGUUCAGACCUCACAUCGGCAGUCAGGCACCCAAGCUAACUGCCUAACGAUGGCUAGCUUGCUAGCUGCUUCCAGACACAAAUGAGAAAACACCUUUACUUGCCCUAGCAGAGCUGGUUAGGCUGUUUUCAUGUUAUCCAGAGCGUUGGUGACUGUAACUGUAAUGCUGGUGACAAUUUAAUUAAGCCUUUUUGCCGCCGUUUAGUCCUUUAGUUUCAGGUGUGGAGGAUGACAGAGGGAGGAUAGGGUUAUGUUCUUGGAGAUGGAAAAAAAACUUGAUGUACAUUCUAGUGUGGACUUGAAAAUAUAUUUAUCUGUAAGAAACAAACUGCCUAUAAUAAAGUGUAUUGUGGUGUGUGGAGUACAGAGAGAUUGAGUGCUUUUUACUUAAUUUAUACUCAGUGUCAUAAUGAUUUAUAUUCACCCACAUACAUCCUUCAGCUCAACACUGACUAAUUGUCUGAUCGUGAGCAGGCACCAAACUAACUUCCCCCAAGCUCUUUCAUGCACUAUAAAUGUCUGUGUUUUCGUAAAUAUCUCCUAAUAUGAGUUCUUCAGAACAGUUAUCAGUCAGAAUCCUAUGCCAGAUGUUCAGGGUGUAAUCCUGGCAGAUGUAAUGGAGUAGAAUGCCUUCAUUUCUUCUGUAUUCCAUUCGGGGGGGCACCUUUCACACAUAUCAUUAUCUCCCAUUAACAAUGUGAACAAUAUUCAUUUAAGGGGAACCAAAGACAUGGAAAACUACAUAUAUUCAUUGAUAUCAUGGAGGCACUAAAAUGAAAUACAAAUCAAAGAUGACAACCAUCCAUACUGUAGGUGUACAGUGCCUUCGGAAAGUAUUCAGACCCCUUGACUCUUUCCACAUUUUGUUAGGUUACAGCCUGAUUCUACAAUUGAUUCUUUUUCUGAUCAAUCUACAUACAAUACCCCAUAAUGACAAAGCCAAAAGAGGUUUGUAGAAAGUUUAGCAAAUAUAUUAAAAAUACAAAACUGAAAUAUGACAUUUACAUAAGUCCCUUUACUUCGGUACUUCGUUGAAGAAUCUUUGGCAGCGAUUACAGCCUGGAGUCUUCUUGGGUAUGAAUCUACAAGCUUGGCACACCUGUAUUUGGGGAGUUUCACCUAUUCUUCUCUGCAGAUCCUCUCAAGUUCUGUCAGGUUGGAUGCGGAACAUUUUUGCACAGCUAUUUUCAGGUCUUUCCAUAGACGUUGUAUUGGGUUCAAGUCCGGGCUCUGGCUGGGCCACUCAAAGACAUUCAGAGACUUGUCUCGAAGCCACUCCUGCGUUUUCUUGGCUGUGUGCUUAGUUUGUUUUCAUGUUGGAAGGUGAACCUUCAUCCUCGUCUGAGGUUCUGAGUGCUCUGGAGCAGAUUUUCAUCAAUGAUCUCUCUGUACUUCUGUUCAUCUUUGCCUCAAUCCCGACUAGUCUCCCAGUCCCUGCCGCUGAAAAACACCCCCAAAGCAUGAUUUUGCCAUCACAAUGCUUCACCGUAGGGAUGGUGCCAGGUUUCCUUCAGACGUGACGCUUGGAUUUCAGGCCAAAGAGUUCAAUCUUGAUUUCAUCAGACCAGAGAAUCUUGGUAAUUUUUGCAAUUUGAUCAAUUUUAGAACAAGGCUGUAACGUAGCAGAAUGUGGAAAAAGUCAUGGGAUCUGAAUACUUUCUAAAGGCACUGUAUAUGAGCCUAGUGUAUAUCAGCCCAUUUGUAAUAAAGAAAGCCUAACACGCACACAAGUAGUGGCCAUCCACGGUAAUGUUAGCAUGAUCCAGGCAGGCGACUGCUCGACCGGUGUGCUAACAUUCCGCCAGUAGAACAAGAGAUCACCUUGGGCAGCUGUGUGUCUGUAGCCAGCCCGCAGUAACCACGGUGAUGUGUUUGAUUGACAAACGGCCUGAUAACUCCAUUCUGCCAGCCACCUGCUAGCUGUCAAUCAGGGCAGCCAUCCCGGGGCUAUUGACAGAGCUGUCAGUCUGGGUGAGACGUGUCUGUCAAAGGUCUCCUCUCCCGCUCUCUCCCUUGCUGCCUGGGCAGUCCACACUAUCCUCCUUGUGAAGGCUCUCCAACUCACCUAGUACAGUAUGAGGAAAUGAUUUGUGUCUAUAUAUUUAAUGUUUGUGCUGUACGUUGUCAUUGGUGAUGAAUCUAAUCCUCUCAAAUCCCCUCCUGCUUCUCUUCCUCUCUGCCUGUUUUGUCCCUCUCCUCCUCCUCUCCUCCCUCUCUUUCCUCCCUCCUCCUCCCUCUCUCUGCUCACUCAUCCCUCCAUCUCUGUACCUGACAGGUGACAAGGCCCAGUCCUCCAGCUGACUGGGUAAUCAGAGACCUAUCAUACAGUAUCUGUCUAAUGUCUGUCCAGGCCAUGCCAAAGCCGUGCUGUACCCUACCCUACCUGCCUGGGGUGGUGGGUGACAGAGGACACAGGAUAGAGAGUUUAGAGGUGCUACUAAAACCCCACGUCUUUGAACACUGUCACCCCCCCACGCACACACACAUACACACAUACACACUCACCUGUGUGCAUUGCCUCAAACCUUGUCAUGUCAAACUCUUAAUUACGCACAGUUUCCUUAAAGCAUACCCCAUUAAUUAACGCAUUAAUUAAUUACCCCUGAUCAAGAUGAAUGUUUCAGUUGUCAUCUCGCACCAUAGCCAAUGUGAUACUGAGAGGGGUUCACUAUUCAGUUUAACAGAUGCAGAGGAUACGGCAAACCUGGGUCUUAUUCACUAGCAACAAAAUGGGGAGGAAGGCCUACUAUCUGAACUUGUGCAAUCAGAAAUGUUUGGAUGUCCUCCAAUCUAUCAGAUCUCUUAGCAUGAACUGACAUGUUGUCCAUCCAAUCAAAGGGUCAGAGAAUUAAUCUAUUAAUGAAAGAAUAUGCUACAGCUAGCUAGCACUGCAUAAAGUGUGGAGAGUAGGUGACUCGAAGCGAAGAUAGACAAUAGUUGAAAAUUAAGGAGAAGCAGCAGAGAGAGAGAGGGAGAGAAGGAGAUCUUUCAUCGUAUUUUUUUCUUCUUCUUAGUUUAUCUUAGCUAAUGCAGACAAUUUAGCCUCUCAACAACCUGACUCAAACAGCUAAAAAUGCUAUUUAUGUUAGCUCUUCCAAGUCAAGGUAAGCUUUCGGUUUUAUAAAUGUAUUGACACUGGGGCCCGCCAGUGUGUAACUGCUUAACUGCUUGCUGUACACUGUACUGCAUGAUUGUACACAUUGAUUGGAUUGUGGGUUUACUAAUGCUUUCGUUAGAGUUUGUUGACUAUGAUGUUAGCUAAUAUGGUGACAACGAUGUAGGCCAUGUAGUGGUUAGGGGUUAUGGUAUAAAGAUGUUGUGCCUGGUCACAGAUAGCUGUUGUGUUAUGCACUGAAGUCCAAGCAAAAUGGAAAAGGUAAGAGGAGGAUAGUGUGUAUAUGCGAGAAGGAAUUAUAGAAUGAGCAAAGUGAUGAUGCUGUAUGUGGUUGCUAUGGAAAUUAGCUGUGUGUGUAGGGGAUCAGGGGUGUUUUCAUUCCACAUAUUAUUUUACAAAACGUUUGCUAAACGAAAGCAAAUGGAACGAAACAGAGAUGGACCUACCUGAAUUUGUCCAAAAUAAACUCUUGUUUGGACUGAUGAUUACACCUCAGAUAAGCUAGGUGCAGGCAAGAGUGUGCAAGGUGUUAUUGAAUGCAUGGCCUCAACUGAUUACUCCAAUUUGUCUCUCGACCUGUUUACCUACAUUACACAUUUUAAUUUGUAGGCUAGGUUGAAGCACCUGAUGAUGAGUAUAGGGCAAAUUCAAGAAUCAUGUAGUAGCCUAAACUUAUCAGUAUUACAUUGAACUGGGUGAAUGGAAUAUGAAUGACAUUCAUCCAAUAUGUUGUAUUAGAAAUGAGGACAAGCUCAUGCCAGUGGCGGAAAAAGUACCCAAUUGUCAUACUUGAGUAAAAGUAAAGAUAUAUUCAUAGAAAAUGAAUCAAGUAAAAGUGAAAGCCACAAAGUAUUUGUUUUUAAAUAUACUUAAGGAUCAAAAGAAAAAGUAAAUGUCACGUUCUGACCUUAGUUCCUUUGUUAUGUCUUUGUUUUAGUAUGGUCAGAGCGUGAGUUGGGGUGGGUAGUCUAUGUUCUUUUUUCUAUGUUGUGUUUAUGUGUUUGGCCUGGUAUGGUUCUCAAUCAGUGUCAUUCGUUGUCUCUGAUUGAGAAUCAUACUUAGGUAGCCUUUUCCCACCUGUGUUUUGGGGGUGAUUAUUUUCUGUCUCGUGUUUUCUGCACCUUUCAAGGACUGUUUCGGUUUUUGUUUAUUUCACGUUGUUAUUUUGUAGUUCAGUUAAUAAACAUCAUGAACACAUA